rnacentral:rRNA from 1 species
GACGUAGGGUCCGAGCGUUGUCCGGAGUUACUGGGCGUAAAGGGCGCGUAGGCGGCUUUGUGCGUCACCCGUGAAAGCCCCCGGCUCAACCGGGGAGGGUCGGGUGAAACGGCGGAGCUGGAGGCAGCGAGAGGCUGGUGGAACUCCCGGAGUAGUGGUGAAAUGCGUAGAGAUCGGGAGGAACACCGGUGGCGAAGGCGGCCAGCUGGCGCUGACCUGACGCUGAGGCGCGAAGGCGUGGGGAGCAAACGGG